GGAGGUAUAGCUCAGGGGUAGAGCGUGUGCCUAGCAUGCACGAGGUCCUGGGUUCAAUCCCCAGUCCCUCCA
rnacentral:tRNA from 1 species